rnacentral:rRNA from 1 species
GACGUAGGGCGCGAGCGUUGUCCGGAUUUAUUGGGCGUAAAGAGCUCGUAGGCGGCUUGUUACGUCGACUGUGAAAACCCGCGGCUCAACCGUGUGGCUUGCAGUCGAUACGGGCAGGCUAGAGUUCGGUAGGGGAGACUGGAAUUCCUGGUGUAGCGGUGAAAUGCGCAGAUAUCAGGAGGAACACCGGCGGCGAAGGCGGGUCUCUGGGCCGAUACUGACGCUGAGGAGCGAAAGCGUGGGGAGCGAACAGG